CCUAGUAACGGCGAGUGAAGCGGCAACAGCUCAAAUUUGAAAUCUGGCUUCGGCCCGAGUUGUAAUUUGCAGAGGAUGCUUCUGGCGCGGUGCCUUCCGAGUUCCCUGGAACGGGACGCCACAGAGGGUGAGAGCCCCGUAUGGUCGGACACCAAGCCUGUGUGAAGCUCCUUCGACGAGUCGAGUAGUUUGGGAAUGCUGCUCUAAAUGGGAGGUAAAUCUCUUCUAAAGCUAAAUACCGGCCAGAGACCGAUAGCGCACAAGUAGAGUGAUCGAAAGAUGAAAAGCACCUUGAAAAGGGGGUUAAAUAGUACGUGAAAUUGUUGAAAGGGAAGCACUUGUGACCAGACUUGGGCCGGGCGGCUCAUCAGGGGUUCUCCCCUGUGCACUCCGCCCGGCACAGGCCAGCAUCGGUUCUCGUGGGGGGAUAAGACCGUUAGGAACGUAGCACCCUCCGGGGUGUGUUAUAGCCUGGCGGACGAUACCCCCGUGGGGACCGAGGUUCGCGCUCCGCAAGG
rnacentral:rRNA from 1 species